rnacentral:lncRNA from 1 species
CGCUGGGGCUGGGAUGUGCCCGGCAGCAGCCCCGCUCCGCUUCACUCAGGGCCCAAGCCGGCUGCAGACGCCACCCGUCACAUCGCAGGCCAAGCCAGAUGGGCAAGCAAUACAAGCUGUGAACUUAUUCUUGACCCCUGUAGGACAGUGACCACCUUCAUUUUUGUCUUCACCAUACAGAUACACACUGCCAAUAAGUGACCACAGCAACCCUCGUUUCUGGCUGGGGAAUGCAUUACAAGCCUCACUGCUAAUUACAACAUCGCAGUGUUCCUAGAGGGUACCUGAGUUCAGCGGUGCUUAGCUACAGCGCCGGGCGAGGGGAUUUAUGGGGUGAAGUGACAUCAGCCUGCGCAUGGCAGUUCUGGUAAGGUCAAAGUGAGUCUCUCUUGCAGAUCAGGAGUCAGAUGGGUCCUGUUCAGAC